GACAGAUGGUGCAGGCGUUAUUCGGAAUUACUGGGCGUAAAGGGUAUGUAGGCGGCUCAUAGGAACGGAGGACGAAAUGCUGGGGUAAUAACCGUAGAAGAGGCCUGUAAGAGUAAAGGGCUAAGAAAAGAGGAGUUAUUAAGAGGUCGGAGGAAUUUCUAGCGGAAGGGUAAAAUCUUACAAUUCUGGAAAGAACACCAAAAGUGAAGACAUCCCUCCAUUGGUAACUGACGCUGAGGUACGGAAGCAUAGGAAGCAAACAGG
rnacentral:rRNA from 1 species